rnacentral:misc_RNA from 1 species
GAUGAAGAACGUAGCAAAAUGCGAUAAGUAAUGUGAAUUGCAGAAUUCAGUGAAUCAUCGAAUCUUUGAACGAACAUUGCGCCCGCUGGUAUUCCGGCGGGCAUGCCUGUUCGAGCGUCAUUUCAACCCUCAAGCCCCCGGGUUUGGUGUUGGGGAUCGGCUCUGCCCUUCUGGGCGGUGCCGCCCCCGAAAUACAUUGGCGGUCUCGCUGCAGCCUCCAUUGCGUAGUAGCUAACACCUCGCAACUGGAACGCGGCGCGGCCAUGCCGUAAAACCCCAACUUCUGAAUGUUGACCUCGGAUCAGGUAGGAAUACCCGCUGAACUUAAGCAUAUCAAUAAGCGGAGGA